UACAGAGGGUGCAAGCGUUGUUCGGAAUUAUUGGGCGUAAAGGGUGCGUAGGCGGACACUUAAGUCCGUGGUGAAAUCUCUGGGCUUAACCCAGAAACUGCCAUGGAUACUAUUUGUCUUGAAUGUUGUGGAGGUUAGCGGAAUAUGUCAUGUAGCGGUGAAAUGCAUAGAUAUGACAUAGAACACCAAUUGCGAAGGCAGCUGGCUACACAAAUAUUGACGCUGAGGCACGAAAGCGUGGGGAUCAAACAGG
rnacentral:rRNA from 1 species